rnacentral:rRNA from 1 species
CCUACGGGAGGCAGCAGUGAGGAAUAUUGGUCAAUGGACGCAAGUCUGAACCAGCCAUGCCGCGUGCAGGAAGACGGCUCUAUGAGUUGUAAACUGCUUUUGUACGAGGGUAAACGCAGAUACGUGUAUCUGUCUGAAAGUAUCGUACGAAUAAGGAUCGGCUAACUCCGUGCCAGCAGCCGCGGUAAUACGUAGGGAGCAAGCGUUAUCCGGAUUUAUUGGGUGUAAAGGGUGCGUAGACGGAGAAGCAAGUUAGUUGUGAAAUCCCUCGGCUUAACUGAGGAACUGCAACUAAAACUACUUCC